CUUUCAUCAUCUUUGUAAUAGUUAGGGUUUGUUGGUGUUUUCACCGUUGUAUCUUUGAUUCUCUCAUCUGUUAGAGAGAUCUCAGUGUAUUGUUGGUAUAGAUGAUCAUCAGUGGAUGAUCAUCAACUCUGGUUGUAUCGUUCCUCUUUAUACUGAUCUUACGAUUGUAAGAUCUUAGGGUUUUGGGGGGUACUUUUCUGGUUUGGGUUAAUAAGAUUUUUGGUCACGUUUUGUCGCUAUUUCUUUGUUUGUGUUUGUUAUUUUCUGUUCAUCAACCAUCAUACCAUUGUUUUAACACAUGGUCUUACGUUUGAUGAUUAAAAUCAACUGAACUGAAUUAAAGACGUCAAUUGAAUCUGCCCAGACGUUUCAGACCCACAAUUAUUUAAGAUGGAAUCCAUGAUUGAAUUGGGUGGUCAUUUGCGAGUUCAGUUGCCUAUAAUCAGUGGCAAAUUUGCUGUUUCUUGAAUCACCAGCAGGAGUUGGUUAUUCAUAUACAAACACUACAUCAGAUCUGUAUAGUUUUGGUGAUGCAAGAACCGCUAAAGAUUCAUAUGCAUUUCUUGUUAACUGGUUUGAAAGAUUCCCUCCGUACAAGCAUAGAAAUUUUUACAUUGCUAGAGAAAGUUAUGCAGGUCAUUAUGUCCAGCAAUUGUCUCAACUUAUUUACCGAAGAAACAAAGGAGUAAAGAAUCCACCCACAAACCCCCUUUUAGACCCGGAACCAAAUAAGCAAAAAAGAGUCGGUUCGAGGUUCUCAAUUUACAGGGUAAAAUGGUAAAGGUAUUAGAGGUUCCGAGUCCAAAAUGGUCGGGUCAGAUCUUUUAAACAACUCUACUCGUACUAUAUAUUCCCACACCGCUAAAUUCUUGUUCUUAUACCCUUUUCUAGGGGUGUAAACGAGUCGGGCCGAGCCCGAGCCUUCCACUACUCGAGCUCGGCUCGUGAUGUUUUUGUGAAGCUCGAGCUCGAGCUCGGCUCGGUUCGAGCCUAAAAUUUUGAGCUCGAACUCGGCUCGUAAGUAAAAUCCAAAGCUCGAGUCCGGCUCGGCUCAGCUCGAGAUUAUUUGAGAACAAUUUUAAACGAGUUCCAAGCUCGGCUAGAGCUCGCUUCAAUAUAGCUUAAACGAGUUAAAGCUUGGCUCGAGCUCGGCCCA